rnacentral:tRNA from 1 species
GGGGCUGGGUACAGUGGUAGAGCAUAUGCUUAGCAUGCAUGUGGUCCUGGGUUCAAUCCCCAGUAAUUCCA